AUGGAGGCAGAUCAUAUGUUGAGCCGCCAAACAAGACUCUUGCAGUAGAACUAGCGUUGUAGUUUGAGAGAAAAGCAGCGCAAGAUGACUUGGACUUGAACACAUGAGCCUGAAAAAAAAACAGAACAAGCCAACAAAAAGCAUCAGCAGAGACCAAUGCUGGCUCACAGAGCUUGAUGACCUUAUGCAAUCUCUUCAAGUGACUAUACUUUGGUUCUCUCGGUGAUAGGAGUUAAAAUUACCGUAUUCAUCAAGCGGAGCGUCGUAGUCAUAGCUAGUAGCAAUGAAUUCACCUGCUGUUCUGUCGAAGUUUGUUCCUCCAUGGUACUGUUUAACAACAUUUGCUCACUCUCAUUAUGUUUCUAAUAAUCAAAUUUAUUGUUUCUUAUUUCAACAAUAGAGAAAUAUGAAGUUACCAUAUAGUAAUUGAUGAAGGAGCCACCGUUAUGUAUGAAGCGAGCCACAGAGAAGGCAAUGUCUUCGGCUGGUCUGUAUGGUACCGCACCUCCAAACUCGGUGAACCUGGUUUAUUAUUUGCACAUUCACUUACAGUUGUAUAUUUUUAAUUUUAAAAAGGUAUAAAAAUUGAUUUUCGGUUUAGAUAUUUAUAAAA